GCGAGCUCAACACGAGGGACUGUUGCAUGCAGCCUGGCUCGGCGUGUCCCACCACGGCGUCGUCUGCACAGCCCUCCGCCGCCGACCCCUCUCUUUCUCCCCCAUCCACUUCAGCCCGGUCUCUCUCUUCCCGGACUCGCCAUCAGCUCGCGUGUUUGGCCAACCGCAUCCUCCAAGCUCCCCAAACCGAGUUCUUCUGGUAAUAAUCGGUCGGCUGUUUAGGGAAAAGCCGGGCAUUCACCUCCUCCCCCCCUGCUUCCCAAGAAGGGGAGGAUCCACACAGCCAGAGGAGGGAUUGGAGGGAGCACAGAGACGCGCACACAAACUGUGACACGGCUCUGGCCGAGAGCCCUCCCGCUCCUCUCUAGUAGGUGACCUGAAGCAGCUUACACCAUACGCAUUUCCUCCGUUUUAUACUCACAACAAUCCUUUGAGGCAGGUUUAAGCUGAGACGGUUUGACUGGCCCGAGGUCACCUGUGAGCUUUCAGGGCUGAGAAGAGGUCGAAUCUGUCUGGAUGCAAGAAUCUCACUCUGGUGUAUAGGUAAUGAGCAGCCUCACCCAAAAUCACAAAGCCAAUGAUUUCUGGACACUGCAGCAAGACUUGAAAGGAAAGCAAAUGGAACCAAAUAUCUAUUAUCACCAGAGAAUCUUAUCUGCUCAGUGUGCGACAUCGUGGGAAGCAGCGCUGGUGCACGGAGGACUGGGGCACAUUCCUCCCGCAUUUAAUACAAUGGUACACUUAAACAACAAGAAAUGGUAGCAUCUUAGAGCCAGAUGCCUGGUGGUUUGUAAAUACAUCCUGUAGAAUGUGCGACAUUCCAGCAGCUCUCACAAACAAAAUUGUUACCGGGAAGGGGAGGGGGAGAGGUAAGUUAGAGGAAAUUACUGCUUUUAUCAGAUUGAUGGCUGCUGUUGAGAGUGUUUCAGCUCUGCAAAGUCACAGGAGUCUUCAGGUGGAGAGUCAAAUGACAUCGCGGAAAGGUGGUUCUACAGAAGGCAUCAUUAUACUACCCAAAAAAAUUACCAAGAUUUGCUAAGGAUUCUGCAACCAGAAAUUCAA